AAUGCAAGACCUUCCUUCAUUUUAAUUGCUACUAGCAUCCAAGAGUUUAGCAAUUCCUGUCCUUCAUUUGAACUUUGUCUGUGUUAUAUUAGGAGUGUAAUAAACACCACACCAGAUGAGGCUUACACUGCAGACCCUCUACUUUACACUGUUUCUCUGCUUUGUCCUCUUUAGUCUACACUGCAAUAAUGCAAUGUCUCUUCCCCACACCACACAUGCUUGCAAGAAGAGGAGACUUCAUCAACGAGUGCUAAGGAUUUCUCUGCUCUUUCUUGCUUUUCUUUUUCUCCAGUGCGUGAUUUGCUGCUUCUGGAUGUGUGAUGCCGGUCAAAGAAGUUUGCACAGGAUAAGAACUUGUGUUCAAUUCUGUUCUGCUUGACGGAUCCUGUCCAGGAACUGAGAGAAAACCGCCAUGCCAUCCUAGUAAAGAAUAGUACUUCCCUCAGUAAGGACUCUGCGAGAGAAGGAUGCUUCAUUGGGAUUUUGCAACUAGAAGUUUCUCCAACCCUUGCCAUCUCGUGAAGCUCAACAUGAGGCAGAAAUCCAUUUCUGCAAGUCACGGCCCAGAGUCUUACUGAACAAAACUUUGGCUGGUUUUACAUGGUCUCCUUGCGGGAUCUUGAGGUGAAUACUGGAUUAGAUUGAACGUGGCAACGCCACUUGAUUAGAUAUACUGGUGUCAAUGAACUGUCAGCAGGUUUUUUCUCUCACAAGUACCAACCCGACUGUACCGAGCAUUAGUAGACAGUUUUAUUUAGGUUCCCGUUUCCCAGCCACUAUUUCUCUGCUCUUGCUUUGCUAGGGUGUAUUACUUGCUGCUGUUUGCUCUGGUAAGCUCCAUGCCACACUAGCACCAGGAGAUCAAGAGAUAGUUGCAAUUUCUUUCCUUCUAUUCUAUUAAGUUGGUGAACUUAUCUCUGCUUUCCCUGCAGCAUCGAUAUAUUGUGUUCAUUUCUGUUGACUGGCUGGGAGAACUUGUCGUGCAGAGUGUUGCGGCAGGAAACAGUUGGUAUUAACACAUAUCACCCUCCUUCUGCAGGCUGCUGUACUCGUCAGUUGACCCGUAUCCAGGUUUACACAAAGGGGGUGAUGAUGUGCUGCUGCAAGAGGGCGCCAGGAAGCUUGUUGCCAAUGCUCAGAUGUUGAUGAGGAACUUCAAUGAAGGCACAUCUGCGACUGAAUCUAUGGUGGUGCCCUAUCUGCCGAUACCUUGAUCUGCUUGGGCUACUGGAAGAGGGCUGCUGGAAGAGGCUUUUGUCAUGUUGAUUCUGCUGUGUUGCACGCUGUAGAUUAUCAUGUUUUGUCUGGCCUUGUAUCUCUAAAACUUGUUGAACUUCUAGCUGGCUGUUCUAAGACUCUCUUUUUUUCAGCUUCUGGACAGCUUCUGGACAGCUUCUAGGUCCAGGAAACCGCUAGCUGAAAAGAAGGCAAAAUUUCUUGAGAGCUUAUUUUUCAACAUGCAGCUUCUCGUGGUGCAAUUGGAGAGCUUCUCCACCCGCAUCUUAUGAAAAUACCACAUGGACACACCGUAUUUACGGCUGAAUUGCCACCGCCUCCCGUCGCGCCGGAAAAAAAAAUGAUUCGCUCGCUCACCCUCGACCUCAGACCCGAUCCUUCUCCACUCGCUCCUGUCCCAGCGCCGCCGCCGCCCCCGCCCCUGCGGCCCUGCCCUCCUCCGACAUCUCUCCCGUGGCCGUUGCCCCUCCCUCCACCGGCCGCCAUCCUUCCCAUCCCCUCCGUCCGCGCCGCCCUCCCCCACUCCCGGAUCUGUCGUCGCCACCCCCACUCCCGGAUCCGCCGCCCUCCCCCAGUCGGGCUCCAAGAUCGCAUCUCCAUGGACGUCCUCUAGUGAAAAUCUGCUACCGGCAUGGAGCUUGCCCUGCUCCUAUCAAGCUCUGCUGCCAACGAGCGUGGCCCUUGCCCUCCUCCCGUGAAGCUCUGCAACUAGCAACCAGAAGGAGGGGGAGCAAGCCUCGACUAGCUCGCCCCUGAUGCCGGCCGCCAUGAGCGAGAUCCAUGCAGUGGCACACGCAUCCUUCCCUGUGCAGCCCCGUACCAAGCCGCCAUCUCCGUCGCCUGAAUCUGUAUGGAUUUGGUGGUGUCUCCCGUCGGCCUCUCAAGACCCCCUUUCGUGCGUGCAAGCAAGAACAAAAAUUGGAUUUUCCUUCUUCUUAAUUCUUGUGUUUACUAGUAGUAUUUGCAAAUCUGGGUUAGCAUUAGCUUGAAAUUUCUCAAGAUCUUGCAACCCCCUAUGCAUGGUUCUUGAUGUUUGCUCAGGACGUCUAGUUCAAUUCUUUGUUGGUUAUGAAAUUGCCGUAGUUUUAAUUUUGCAUGGACUGAUGCAUAUGUAUAAAAUUAGAUGGAUGAACUGAUGUUGUAGAUGCGAA